rnacentral:rRNA from 1 species
UCAGUCGACUCCUACGGGGAGGCAGCAGUGGGGGAAUAUUGCACAAUGGGCGCAAGCCUGAUGCAGCCAUGCCGCGUGUAUGAAGAAGGCCUUCGGGUUGUAAAGUACUUUCAGCAGUGAGGAAGGUGGGUAUGUUAAUAGCAUAUUCAUUUGACGUUAGCUGCAGAAGAAAGCACCGGCUAACUCCGUGCCAGCAGCCGCGGUAAUACGGAGGGUGCGAGCGUUAAUCGGAAUUACUGGGCGUAAAGCGCAUGCAGGUGGUUUGUUAAGUCAGAUGUGAAAGCCCGGGGCUCAACCUCGGAAUUGCAUUUGAAACUGGCAAACUAGAGUACUGUAGAGGGGGGUAGGAAUUUCAGGUGUAGCGGUGAAAUGCGUAGAGAUCUGAAGGAAUACCGGUGGCGAAGGCGGCCCCCUGGACAGAUACUGACACUCAGAUGCGAAAGCGUGGGGAGCAAACAGGAUUAGAUACCCUGGUAG